rnacentral:snoRNA from 2 species
AAGCGAAUGGAGUGAUGAAUUAAUUAGAUGCGAGAAGUGACCUUAUGAACUGAAACUUUGAGGCAUAAAUUCUAUCUGACUUGUCAAUU